rnacentral:rRNA from 1 species
UGGUUGCUCAGGAAAAGAAUUUUAGUUCUUUCUUAAAAAAUUAAUGCACUUAAAGCAUUUUAAGAAUUAUUCAAUUAGGGUACAGCCUAAUUGAUAUAGGAUACAACCUAAAUUUUAGGAUAAUGAUUAUACCUAAAAAAAGUUAAAGGCUAAGUUGGCUUAAAAGCAGCCAUCUUUUAAAAAGCGUCUAAGCUUGACCUUAAACAUACUUUUAUUUUAUUAAUUCUUCAAAAUCCAAUACUACUACUGAGCUAUUCUAUAUUUUUAUAGAAGUAUUUAUGUUAGGACUAGUAACACAGAAUAAUUUCUCUUCUAUGUAAGUAAAAAUCAGUCUGAAUACCUCACUGAUAACUACCCAGUUUUGAAUAUAUAGUAAUUUUGGAGCUUCCCCAUGAAAAUACUACUUUAAUUUCUGUUAAUCUUACACAAGAACAUAUAAGAAAGAUAUAAAGACUAAGAAGGAACUCGGCAACCCACAGUCCCGCCUGUUUACCAAAAACAUCGCCUUUUGAAAAUUAUAAAAGGUAACGCCUGCCCAGUGACCCUGUUUAACGGCCGCGGUAUUCUGACCGUGCGAAGGUAGCGUAAUCACUUGUCUUUUAAAUAAAGACUUGUAUGAAUGGCAUCACGAGGACUUAACUGUCUCCUUAGUCCUAUCAGUGAAACUGAUCUUCCCGUGCAAAAGCGGGAAUAAAAACAUAAGACGAGAAGACCCUGUGGAGCUUAAAACAUAAACUAACUAUAUUAACUAUUAUAAAUAAAUACUAUAUUUCUAUAGACUAGUCAAAGUUUUCAGUUGGGGUGACUGUGGAGAAAAACUAAUCCUCCAUGUAGAAAUAAGCUUUGAGUUACCUCUCUUAGCAUUAGCAAGCCUAACUUUACUUGAUCCAAUAAUUUUGAUCAACGGACCAAGUUACCCCAGGGAUAACAGCGCAAUCCAUUUCAAGAGUUCAUAUCGACAAAUGGGUUUACGACCUCGAUGUUGGAUUAGGACCCCCUAGUGGUGCAGCCGCUACUAACGGUUCGUUUGUUCAACGAUUAAAGUCCU